UACAGAGGUCCCAAGCGUUGUUCGGAUUCACUGGGCGUAAAGGGUGCGUAGGCGGUCGGGUAAGUCUGAUGUGAAAUCUCACGGCUUAACUGUGAAACUGCAUUGGAUACUAUCCGGCUCGAGGAAUGGAGGGGAGACUGGAAUACUUGGUGUAGCAGUGAAAUGCGUAGAUAUCGAGUGGAACACCAGUGGCGAAGGCGAGUCUCUGGACAUUUCCUGACGCUGAGGCACGAAAGCCAGGGGAGCAAACGGG
rnacentral:rRNA from 1 species